UUGAUCCUGGCUCAGGAUGAACGCUAGCGGCAGGCUUAACACAUGCAAGUCGAGGGGCAGCGGGGAGGAAGCUUGCUUUCUCCGCCGGCGACCGGCGCACGGGUGAGUAACACGUAUGCAACCUGCCCCUGUCAGGGGGACAACCCGCCGAAAGGCGGGCUAAACCCGCGUACAUGCCACCGGGGCAUCCCGGAGGCAGGAAAGGCUUCGGCCGGACAGGGAUGGGCAUGCGGCGCAUUAGGCAGUAGGCGGGGUAACGGCCCACCUAACCGACGAUGCGUAGGGGUUCUGAGAGGAAGGUCCCCCACACUGGUACUGAGACACGGACCAGACUCCUACGGGAGGCAGCAGUGAGGAAUAUUGGUCAAUGGUCGGGAGACUGAACCAGCCAAGCCGCGUGAGGGAUGAAGGUACAGAGUAUCGUAAACCUCUUUUGUCAGGGAACAAAGGCGGGGACGUGUCCCCGGAUGAGUGUACCUGAAGAAAAAGCAUCGGCUAACUCCGUGCCAGCAGCCGCGGUAAUACGGAGGAUGCGAGCGUUAUCCGGAUUUAUUGGGUUUAAAGGGUGCGCAGGCGGUCUGUUAAGUCAGCGGUCAAAGCCCGGGGCUCAACCCCGGCCCGCCGUUGAAACUGGCAGUCUCGAGUUGGAGAGAAGUAUGCGGAAUGCGCGGUGUAGCGGUGAAAUGCAUAGAUAUCGCGCAGAACUCCGAUUGCGAAGGCAGCAUGCCGGCUCUACACUGACGCUGAGGCACGAAAGCGUGGGUAUCGAACAGGAUUAGAUACCCUGGUAGUCCACGCAGUAAACGAUGAAUGCUGGCUGUCCGGGGGGGAUUGACCCCUGGGUGGCGAAGCGAAAGCGAUAAGCAUUCCACCUGGGGAGUACGCCGGCAACGGUGAAACUCAAAGGAAUUGACGGGGGCCCGCACAAGCGGAGGAACAUGUGGUUUAAUUCGAUGAUACGCGAGGAACCUUACCCGGGCUCAAACGGGGAGUGACUCAGGCAGAGACGCCUGUUUCCCACGGGACACUCCCCGAGGUGCUGCAUGGUUGUCGUCAGCUCGUGCCGUGAGGUGUCGGCUUAAGUGCCAUAACGAGCGCAACCCCCGCGUGCAGUUGCUAACAGAUAACGCUGAGGACUCUGCACGGACUGCCGGCGCAAGCCGCGAGGAAGGCGGGGAUGACGUCAAAUCAGCACGGCCCUUACGUCCGGGGCGACACACGUGUUACAAUGGGUGGUACAGCGGGAAGCCAGGCGGCGACGCCGAGCGGAACCCGAAAUCCACUCUCAGUUCGGAUCGGAGUCUGCAACCCGACUCCGUGAAGCUGGAUUCGCUAGUAAUCGCGCAUCAGCCAUGGCGCGGUGAAUACGUUCCCGGGCCUUGUACACACCGCCCGUCAAGCCAUGGGAGCCGAGGGCGCUUGAAGUGCGUCGCCGCGAGGCGCGCCCUAGAGCGAAAUCGGUGACUGGGGCUAAGUCGUAACAAGGUAACCGU
rnacentral:rRNA from 1 species